UACAGAGGUCUCAAGCGUUGUUCGGAUUCAUUGGGCGUAAAGGGUGCGUAGGCGGCGCGGUAAGUCGGGUGUGAAAUUUCGAGGCUUAACUUCGAAACUGCAUUCGAUACUGCCGUGCUUGAGGACUGGAGAGGAGUCUGGAAUUUACGGUGUAGCGGUGAAAUGCGUAGAUAUCGUAAGGAAGACCAGUGGCGAAGGCGGGUCUCUGGACAGUUCCUGACACUGAGGCGCGACAGCGUGGGGAGCAAACAGG
rnacentral:rRNA from 1 species